rnacentral:rRNA from 1 species
AGUCGAACGAUGAAGCCCUGCUUGCAGGGUGGAUUAGUGGCGAACGGGUGAGUAACACGUGAGUAACCUGCCCCUGACUCUGGGAUAAGCCCGGGAAACUGGGUCUAAUACCGGAUAUGACUUCCUACUGCAUGGUGGGUUGUUGAAAGAUUUAUCGGUGGGGGAUGGACUCGCGGCCUAUCAGCUUGUUGGUGAGGUAAUGGCUCACCAAGGCGACGACGGGUAGCCGGCCUGAGAGGGUGACCGGCCACACUGGGACUGAGACACGGCCCAGACUCCUACGGGAGGCAGCAGUGGGGAAUAUUGCACAAUGGGCGGAAGCCUGAUGCAGCGACGCCGCGUGAGGGAUGACGGCCUUCGGGUUGUAAACCUCUUUCAGUAGGGAAGAAGCGAAAGUGACGGUACCUGCAGAAGAAGCGCCGGCUAACUACGUGCCAGCAGCCGCGGUAAUACGUAGGGCGCAAGCGUUAUCCGGAUUUAUUGGGCGUAAAGAGCUCGUAGGCGGUUUGUCGCGUCUGCCGUGAAAGUCCGAGGCUCAACCUCGGAUCUGCGGUGGGUACGGGCAGACUAGAGUGAUGUAGGGGAGACUGGAAUUCCUGGUGUAGCGGUGAAAUGCGCAGAUAUCAGGAGGAACACCGAUGGCGAAGGCAGGUCUCUGGGCAUUUACUGACGCUGAGGAGCGAAAGCAUGGGGAGCGAACAGGAUUAGAUACCCUGGUAGUCCAUGCCGUAAAACGUUGGGCACUAGGUGUGGGGGACAUUCCACGUUUUCCGCGCCGUAGCUAACGCAUUAAGUGCCCCGCCUGGGAGUACGGCCGCAAGGCUAAAACUCAAGGAAUUGACGGGGGCCCGCACAAGCGGCGGAGCAUGCGGAUUAAUUCGAUGCAACGCGAAGAACCUUACCAAGGCUUGACAUGUGCCAGACCGCUCCAGAGAUGGGGUUUCCCUUCGGGGCUGGUUCACAGGUGGUGCAUGGUUGUCGUCAGCUCGUGUCGUGAGAUGUUGGGUUAAGUCCCGCAACGAGCGCAACCCUCGUUCCAUGUUGCCAGCACGUAGUGGUGGGGACUCAUGGGAGACUGCCGGGGUCAACUCGGAGGAAGGUGGGGAUGACGUCAAAUCAUCAUGCCCCUUAUGUCUUGGGCUUCACGCAUGCUACAAUGGCCGGUACAAUGGGUUGCGAUACUGUGAGGUGGAGCUAAUCCCUAAAAGCCGGUCUCAGUUCGGAUUGGGGUCUGCAACUCGACCCCAUGAAGUCGGAGUCGCUAGUAAUCGCAGAUCAGCAACGCUGCGGUGAAUACGUUCCCGGGCCUUGUACACACCGCCCGUCAAGUCACGAAAGUUGGUAACACCCGAAGCCGAUGGCCUAACCACCUUGUGUGGGGGGAGUCGUCGAAGGUGG